rnacentral:rRNA from 1 species
CCUACGGGUGGCAGCAGUGGGGAAUAUUGGACAAUGGGGGGAACCCUGAUCCAGCCAUGCCGCGUGUGUGAAGAAGGCCCUCGGGUUGUAAAGCACUUUCAGUGAGGAAGAACGCCUGGUGGUUAAUACCCAUCAGGAAAGACAUCACUCACAGAAGAAGCACCGGCUAACUCCGGGCCAGCAGCCGCGGUAAUACGGAGGGUGCGAGCGUUAAUCGGAAUUACUGGGCGUAAAGCGCGCGUAGGUGGCUUGAUAAGCCGGUUGUGAAAGCCCCGGGCUCAACCUGGGAACGGCAUCCGGAACUGUCAAGCUAGAGUGCAGGAGAGGAAGGUAGAAUUCCCGGUGUAGCGGUGAAAUGCGUAGAGAUCGGGAGGAAUACCAGUGGCGAAGGCGGCCUUCUGGACUGACACUGACACUGAGGUGCGAAAGCGUGGGUAGCAAACAGGAUUAGAUACCCUUGUAGUC